rnacentral:lncRNA from 1 species
GGGGACAGGUCCAGUGGAACAGUACCCCCCCCAUACACCCUGGGGCCAGGAACUGCCUGACUGUGGACAGCUGGAGAGUUGACUGAGUGUUGAGUGCCUGGGGCAUCCCUGUAUCCACACCAGCAGAGGGGCCUACUCAGCAAGGCACCUGCAGCACCUGCAGCAGAGUCCUUGGAAUUUGAGAAGGAACCCACAGCAGGAGGAGGUCAGCAGGGAGGGCAUGAGGUGGGGGGAGCUUGGACUGGGAGGCCCCUCUACAGUCUAUACUCCACCAAAUGACUAGGGGAGCCCUGGGAAGCAGGG